rnacentral:rRNA from 1 species
UACGUAGGGUGCGAGCGUUAAUCGGAAUUACUGGGCGUAAAGCGUGCGCAGGCGGCGCGUUAAGACAGGUGUGAAAGCCCCGAGCUUAACUUGGGAAUUGCGCUUGUGACUGGCGUGCUGGAGUGUGGCAGAGGGAGGUGGAAUUCCACGUGUAGCAGUGAAAUGGGUAGAGAUGUGGAGGAACACCGAUGGCGAAGGCAGCCUCCUGGGCCAGCACUGACGCUCAUGCACGAAAGCGUGGGGAGCAAACAGG